CUAAACAUGACUCUGCCGUUACUUUGAUAAAUCAGCUUAGUAAGUUUUCAAUUUAAUUUGGUUCUCAAUUUUUAUUCUAUUUAGAUUGAUGGAGAUGAUGCCGCUUCAUUUUCCAAUACCAUACUAGCCAGCAAACAAGCUCCAAAUCAGGGUUUGCAGGAAAAGCAAGAAAUUACAAUUGAAAAAGAAAAGUGUAAUAAGCAGAAAUGUAUCACCAUUGUGAAAGCACUGCAGCUUUUUGGGGAGGGGAUUGGGUGCAGAGAGAGGUGAGGGCAGGUGCACGAUUAGGGGGACAGAAAGAGAGUUGAUUGGGUCCACCAUGAACAAAGCUCCUUUGAAGUUCGAAAGCCCGAUAUGAAAUGCAAUUUCCAUAAUCCUGUUCGCCCUGAAAUCCGACAAUGUCCUCAUCUCCUCUCGCGACCUAUAUUAAGAUUGUACGACCUGGAAGUGACGGGCAUACCAAAUGGAUCCAUGGAUGGAUGAAACUAUGAAGAAGACUCAUGUCAGCCGCCAAGCUACCCGAAAACUUCCAAAUCUUGCGUGGAUUUUUCAAUGAGUUGCACACCUCAAUUCGGUUGUUGCGGUUGACAGGAUUAAAGCCCAGUUUCAGCAACAUUUACUCCCAAAUCGACUGUUUAACAGAUAGUGAUCCUGACAUGGCAGAUCCUCUUCUUCAAUGGUAAAUGACUGAAAAAUAUUGUCCCAUCACCGCGGAAAAUGAGCUGUCCAUUGUGACCAUAAUCCAUGGAGAAAAAAUUUGGGCUAUAAGAGCUCAGUGCAAAGCUUCCUGUAAGCAUGGGACAAAACCAAGGCACAGUUCCACGCAAGGUGGUUCAAUCGUUCAUUUUCGUCUAAUUGUCAGGGAAAAGACUUCUUCAGCAUAACUGGGGUUGCCGUGGGGUUGCUGGGACCUGUUUUCACUACAAAUAGGAUGUAUCUUUUAUAUAAAAGAAAAAAAUGCUCGCUCGGUUACCAUAAUUGACACAAAAAUUGGAAGUACCAUAUACCCAGUCACAAACACUCAGGAAAUCACAGCCACGUGAAAAGAAGCUUCCUUUUUUUGCUGGUCAAAGAAAGCUACUUCCUUUAAAAACCAGAAAAGUCAAAGCGACUGCCUUUUCUCUCU